rnacentral:rRNA from 1 species
CCUACGGGAGGCUGCAGUGAGGAAUAUUGGUCAAUGGGCUUACGCCUGAACCAGCCAAGUCGCGUGAGGGAAGACUGCCCUAUGGGUUGUAAACCUCUUUUGUAAGGGCGCAAAACCGGCUACGUGUAGCCGUCCUGAGAGUACCUUAUGAAAAAGCAUCGGCUAACUCCGUUCCAGAAGCCGCGGUACUACGGAGGGUGCGAGCGUUGUCCGGAUUUGUUGGGUUUAAAGGGUGCGUAGGCGGAAUGCCAAGUCAGCGGUAAAAUCGCGGGGCUCAACCUCGCUACGCUGUUGAAACUGGCGUUCUUGAGUGGGCGAGAGGUAGGCGGAAGGCGUGGGGUAGCGGUGAAAUGCAUAGAUAUCACGAAGAACUCCGGUUGCGAAGGCAGCAUACCGGCGCCCAACUGACGCUGAAGCACGAAAGCGUGGGUAUCGAACAGGAUUAGAUACCCCAGUAGUC